UGCCGGUAACAACAGAUCGAACCACAACAAACACGCGGGGAAGCCAUUGGAAGGAUGACGUAAUGCGUACGCGCGACGGUCCAUAGCCUCCUUCCUGCCGCUUAAUCCGCCAUUCUGAAUUAGUUCGUGGCACGCGUCGCAACCGAGCUUCGUUCGUUCGUUAAUUGCAGUUCAUUAGAAUAGUUUAUUUAAUGUGUAUCAUUAUUUUAUAUACCAAUCGAAUGUCGGAAAAGCGAUAUCCGCGUGUGAAUUUAUUAACAUCGAUCACGCUCAACUACGAAAUAUGUUCUACUGCGUUCCUUAACCUAACAACCAUACAAGCCAUCGUUAUUUUCGAUGAUAGAAUGCGAGAGGUACGACGUCUGGAUUUUCGUCAUCAAUUUUACUUAUUUACAAUAAUAAAUGGCGUUCGACAUAUAACGACGACUGAAUGGGAGAGGUACGACGUCUGGAUUUUCGUCUUCAAUUUUACUUAUUUACAAUGAGAAAUGGUGUUGGACACACGACGACGAGUGAUCGAAACAACAAGCACGCGGGGAAGCCAUUGCAAAGCUGACGUAACGCGCAUGCUCGACGAUACAGCUUCCUUGUUGCCGCUUAAUCCGCCAUUCUGAAUCAGUUCGUGGCACGUGUCCCAACCAAACUUCGUCCUCUCGUUAAUUGCAGAAUGGAAGAGGUACGAUGUCCGGAUUAUCAAUUUUACUUACGUACAAUAAGAAGUGAUAUUCGAAACAGGACGACGAGUGGACGUAAAUUCUGUGAAUUUGUUCGUGAGCGUUAACGAUACAGUGUGCCCUGUGUUCCUAGAAAGAAGCAAGAUGGAUUCGGCUAGAGUUCAACAGAGUAGACGUCUUCCAUUUAAGUUUAUACAUUCAUUCUUCGAUUAAGCAGUGUUCUUUCAGCGAAACUUCUUUUAGUAAUUUGCCGUCAGAGUAUAUUUUUUGUUCGAUUGUACAUUUUUUGGGAAGUGCGUUUUAUAUACGUGGAAUAGUUGAUAAUUCGGAAUUCAUUCAAAUUGAUUAACGUUGAUGUAACAUUUCUUUAAUUUUACAUUAGUGGAUUUUACAUGGAUUCUUUCAACCUUCAUCGUCGUCAUGUGAUUAAUAAUCGACAUCAUCAGGAUAGGGAGGAGUUGUGCACGGUCGUCACCGCGCAGUUGAAUCUUUCUAGACGCAACCCACUUUUUAUCGAGCACUCGUUUAUGGUCGAGAUUUGUCUCGUACCAUUUUCUGUGCAUUUACGCUGGUUGCUCUGCCUUCGUCCAGCAUUAUAAAAUAACCGAGGACAUUCUACUCUCCUCCUUAUUUUUUAGACCUGCUUCAGAUGUCGUUAAUUGAUCUCACGUCGAGGACGAUCGAUGGGAAAAUCUAUGUACGCGAACGCGCUUAAUCUACAUUAUUUUAACGAGUCGACGUCCGUCUUGGAAUAUCACUGCGAAAUAAAAAUUGUAGACUUUUCGUUGAUAGUACAUGACAGAACGAAUACUGCUUAAAUCACGGAGUGGAUGUAUCAUUCGACGGAUCGUUUCCUGAUUGCUGUAAUGCGGUUGACAGUUCUUUAGCCCACGUGGGGAAGCCAUUGCAAAGGUGGCGUAAUGCGCAAGCGCGGCGGUCCACAGCCCCCUUACUGCCUCAGAAUCCUCGUUGAUUGCAGAAUGGAAGAGGUAGGACGUCCAGAUUUUCGUCAUCAAUUUUACUUAUUUACAAUAAUAAAUGGUGUUCGACACACAACAACGACUGGAUGUAGACGUGAUUUCUUUCGUUAUUGUUGACAUUACAUCGUGGCUAGUUUUCUUAAAAAUAAGCAAGAUGAAUUUAGUUACAUUCGAACAGAAUUGACAUCUUGACAGUACGAACGCUACUUACAUCGUGGAAGGAAGCGUUCCUUGAUCUAACAACCAGCUAAGGAAUCAUUAUUUUCGAUGAUAGAAAGAAAGAAAUAUAAAGUUCAAAAUUUUCGUCAUCAGUUUUACUUAUCUAUGAUAAGCAAUGGUAUUGGACACAGGACGACAACUGAUAAGCAAUAGUUGACAUAUAUUAUUAUUUAUUUUCACGUUACCCUUUACGAUAACGUUUAGCUAAUUCUACAUUUAUUUUUUCAGGUUAUAGGCAUUGCGAUUUCGUCCGUUAUUGUUAACAAUGCAUCGUGGCCCGUGUUCCUUGAAAUAAGCAUGGUGAAUUUAGUUACAGUCGAACAGAAUUGACAUCUGUUUACACAUUCAUUCUUCGAUUAAACAGUGUUCUGUUAACGAUACUUUUACAUCCGAGUAUAUUUUUCUUCCGAUUACAUUUUUCAUUUAAUAUACAUCGAGUAGCUGAUAAUUCAAAGUUUAUUCAAGUUGGAUAACGUUAUCGUAACUUCAUUCCUUUAAUCGAUGAAAAAAUCUAUUUAAGCGAACGCGUCUUAAAUAACACUAUUUCAACGAAUCAUAUGGUCUCUCUUGAAAUAUCGCUGCGAAAUAGAAACGAUAGGCUUUUCGUCGAUAGUAUACGACAGAACGAACACUGUUUAAAUCGAAAUAUAUGUGUUAAUUGGGUCGUGGAUUCCCGGAUAGCAGUUCCUAAGUAUCACGCUCGUUAGAGCAAGAUGGUUCUUUAUUCUCUUGUCUGAUGAGGAAUACUUAACAUUUUGAUAUUUUUAUUAUAACACUAUUUUUAUUAACUUUGUUAAUUUUUUUUUUUUUUUUUUUUCUUUUAGGAAGCCUAUGUUGUAAUUUCGUUCUACUGUUUGGAUACGGAUAAAAGAACAAUUCAACGCUCUAGUUGGAAAUGGUCUUUGUAAAAUUGCGACUCAGGGAAAGCCUCCUUCCUCUAGGAUCUAUCAUGAAUAUGAAGAUGAGAAAGGAAAGGAAAGGAGCCAGGAAGAUGCGAUGGAAGCAAUAACGAAGGAUGGAAUCUUGAAGAAUCUUCCAUUGGAUUAAAAUCAGCAGGAAAACAACGCUUCCUUCAUUUUACCGAACCGAAAGAAGACUCGCCUCUCCUUCGUGCGUAUUGCUUCUUUAAAUCUGCUUAAGCUCCAACGUUCUACGUAAUUCUCGGCGAUUUUGCGCACCCCUAAGCGUUUCUGCGUGACACCCUAAGCGAUCCUGCGAUACCCUAAGCGUUUCUGCGAUACCCUGAGCGUUUCUGCGAUACCCUGAGCGUUUCUGCGAUACCCUGAGCGUUUCUGCGAUACCCUGAGCGUUUCUGCGAUACCCUGAGCGUUUCUGCGACUCCCUGAGGGUUUCUGCGACACCCUGAGCGUUUCUGCGACACCCUGAGCGUUUCUGCGACACCCUGAGCGUUUCUGCGACACCCUGAGCGUUUCUGCGACACCCCCGAGCGUUUCUGCGACACCCCCGAGCGUUUCUGCGACACCCCCGAGCGUUUCUGCGACACCCCCGAGCGUUUCUGCGACACCCCGAGCGUUUCUGCGACACUACCUUGAGCGUACCUUGGAUACCCUAAGCGAUCUUGCAUGAUACCCUGAGCGUUUCUGCGACACCCUCAGCGUACCUGCGCAAUCCCUAACGUCGUAUUCUGUUCAAUUCUCAGCGUUUUGCGUAACCACCAGCAUUUCAAACGAUUCCCCUGCUUUAGUCUUGCGCAUAAUUGCGAUGUUUUACGAAAAAUUACAAGAUAGAAACAAAUUUGUUAGAAUCAUUGUUAUAAUAUUGUUGGAGUUUAUAGAGCGUUGAAAAAAUGAAACUUCAAUUGGAAGGUAGUACAUCAGUUGAUUUUUUCUUUCCGGAAUGUUAACAUAAAAUUGUUUUAUACUUCACAAGAUAUUACGUGCGGUGCAACGUUUAAGCGGUUGUAUUAUUGUUUAAAUCUUAUUUUAUAUCGACCAAUCGUAUAUUAUAGAUUCUUUAAAUAAUUGUAAAGUGAUAGAAAGCAUACAUAAACUUGGGUGCGUUAAGAAAACUAUUAUUUAAGUAUAAUUUUAUAUCGAACAAACGUAUAUUGUAAACCGUUUAAAUAAUUGUAUAGUGAUAAGAAGCGUAUAUAAACAAUGGUGCGUUGAGAAAAAUAUUUAAAUAUAAUUUUAACUCGAGUAAACGUAUAGUAUAGAAUGUUCAAAUAAUUAGUUAAACUAAUAGAAAGUAUACAUAAAUUCUGAUGCGUUGAGAGAAUUAUCGUUUAAUUAUAAUUUUAUACCGAACAAACGUAUAUUGUAAAAUUGUUUAAAUAAUUGUAAAGUGAUAGAAAGCAUACAUAAAUUUGAUGCGUUAAGAGAAUUUUAGACCACCGUUGGGCGUAUCGAAAACCGUCGUCCAGUAUUUAUCCGUAACAACAAACAUCUUUUUAGACAAUUCUUAGGAUAUCGCGUGACCCCAGCUUCGCGAAUAAUUGAAAUGCUCAUAUACUAAAAAAGAAAAAAUAUUUUUAUCAUUGUAAUAAGAAAGCGUCGAAAAAAAAGGAAGGCAGUAUGUAAGCAGAUUUCUGUUCUGCGAAACGUUCGAUUAAAAUUAUUUUCUACGUACUACGAGCGGUAUAAAGCUUGAGCGGCGGGGUUGUAUUCUGUAAAUAUUAGUUUGAUACUACCGAGCGUACAUAUGUAGCGUACAUUGCUUAAAUGAUUGUAAAACGACAAAAAAUAAAAAUGAUCUAGGUUUAGCGCGGUUCAACGCGGUCCAACGCGUGUACCGGAAAUUUUAGGGCAUGGUAGAGCGUUUCAACUACCGUGAAUCCAUUCGUGCGUAAUUAAGCGUGUUGCGUAAUUCCGAACAGAUUGGCGUAACCCUUAGAAAUAUUGCGUAAACCCCUAACCCUUAUUUAGGUAAAUUCUCUGGCUCUGCCAGACGCAACGCAGCGAUUUCGCCCACUACGUGGUUUGGCGUAAGUAUCCAUUUGGCAAGGUAUGGUUUUUUUUACACGUAAGUCCUAUCGAUUUUUCGCAACGUCCGACGUGGACACCCAGAGUUUUGUCUUUUUCAGGUUAUCUGCAACCUCGGAGUUAUUUAUUUACCUACAUACUAUCGAGAUUACUGAAGCGAUGGUAUUUUUUUUGCAUAAUGUUAAGGGCAUUGCGUCGUUUUGAACGAAUGCGCGUAAUCAGUAGUUUCUUUUUUUUUUUUUUGUAUGAAGCCCACCGUAUCUAUAUAAUCCUUACAAAUUUUGUGUAAACCUUUGCGUGUAUUCAGCCGAACUUCUGUGGUCUAACUUCGGUGUAAUCCAGACGCGACCCAACGAUUUGCAGUAAGUAUUUUUCUCACUUAAUGCCUUUAUGUUCGUUCCGUAAUUCUACGCGUGUUGCGUAAAUUGCAUAGUAUCUGCAACCCGCAGCUCAUUUUCCUAGGUACCAGCGAAGUUAUUUAAACUGCGGCAUUUUUUUUUCAUAGUUCGGGAUAUUUUCGUUUUAUCCGAAGAAUCCGCGUUUUUAUAUAGCCUAACGUCUCUGUGUAAACCAUGGCGUGUAUUUAGCUUCAUUUUAGCGUGUCUACUUAACUCUAACGUUUCCACAUUAUCACUUAGUUAUCGACCAUAUUUUUUUUUUUUUAACGUGAUCUCUAUUCGUCCCGUAAUUCUUCGCGUAUAUAGUAAUUUGGAGGGUAUUUAGAGCCCUAGCUUAUUUUCCAUGAUACUGGAUGGGUUACUUACGCGACAGAAUAUUUGCAUAGUCCCAGGGGUACUUCCGAUGAAUCGUUGCAAUCUCCAACUUCUUUACAACGCCAAGCGAUUUUGCGAAACCUUUGCACGAUUUGAAAGCCCUAGUGUAACGUAGCGUAACGUAUUUUUAUAUAACGAUCCCGAGAUUUGUCGAAAGUACUUUUUUCUUUUUUCAUAAUGCUUGUCGGAGGUUUUUCUUUUUGACAUUCUUAACAGCUGCGUUAUUCGUAGAAUACUCUAAGCAGCUUAUUUUCGUAGAUACUAGCUAGGUUAUUGAAACGACAGCAUUUUUCUUUUUUCUUUUUUAUAAUUCGUAGGGCACUCGUUAGAUCCGACGAAUCUGCGUAAAUACUAGGGUUUUACUCGUAGAUGACCGUGUACUUUCAUGUGUAUCUGCAACUAUCAGCUUAUUAAUCGAAGAUAUUACCGAGGUUAUAUGAUCGACUGCAUUUAUUUUGCAUAAUCUGUGGGGCACUCGCGUUAUUUCCGAAGAAUCUGCGUAAAUACUAGGGUUUUCAGGAAAUGCAGCGUUUCUGUGUAAUCCUUGUAGAUUUGGCGUCGGUAAUAGGGCGUAUUUAGGUAGCCUCCGAGAAUGCGGCGUAAUCCGAUUGUUUCCGCGUUACCACCCUGUGAUUUCGCGUAAGUACUUGCAUUUAUACGUAAUACUUGUGUAAAUUCCUGUCGGUUUUCGAUAACUCGUGGAUGACCGUGUAGUUCCCGUGUAUUUACAACUGUCGGCUUAUUAAUCGAAGAUAUUACCGAGGUUAUAUGAUCGACUGCAUUUUUUUUGCAUAAUCUGUGGGGCACUCGCGUUAUUUCCGAAGAAUCUGCGUAAAUACUAGGGUUUUCAGGAAAUGCAGCGUUUCUGUGUAAUCCUUGUAGAUUUGGCGUCGGUAAUAGGGCGUAUUUAGGUAGCCUCGGAGAAUGCGGCGUAAUCCGAUUGUUUCCGCAUUACCACCCUGUGAUUUCGCGUAAGUACUUGCCUUUGUACGUAAUACUUGUGUAAAUUCCUGUCGGUUUUCGAUAACUCGUAGAUGACCGUGUAGUUCCCGUGUAUUUACAACUGUCGGCUUAUUAAUCGAAGAUAUUACCGAGGUUAUAUGAUCGACUGCAUUUUUUUUUUUGCAUAAUCUGAGGGGCACUCGCGUUAUUUCCGACGAAUCUGCGUAAAUACUAGGGUUUUCAGGAAAUGCAGCGUUUCUGUGUAAUCCUUGUAGAUUUGGCGUCGGUAAUAGGGCGUAUUUAGGUGGCCUCCGAGAAUGCGGCGUAAUCUGAUUCUUUCCGCAUUACCACCCUGUGAUUUCGCGUAAGUACUUGCCUUUGUACGUAAUACUUGUGUAAAUUCCUGUCGGUUUUCGAUAACUCGUAGAUGACCGUGUAGUUCCCGUGUAUUUACAACUGUCGGCUUAUUAAUCGAAGAUAUUACCGAGGUUAUUUUAUCGACUGCAUUUUUUUUUUGCAUAAUCCGCGGGGCACUCGUUAUAUCCGACGAAUUUGCGUAACUACUAGCAUUUUCAUAAAGUCCGGCAUUUCUGCGUAACCUACAGAUUUUACAAAAAUCUAAGUACGCAAUCUACAGCGUGGGACAUAACCCCACUGUCUUCGCUUUACCAUCCGGUGAUUAGAAGUAUUUGUCCGUUUUCUUUUUAGGUAAUCCCUCGGUUUUUCAAUAAUUCCUAACGUACCGACGUAGUUCCUAGGUUUAUCAGCAAUACCCAGGUUAUUUUCUUAGAUACUAGCGAGGUUACUUAAACGACAUUUUUGGCCUCCGAGCUUUCUCCGUAAUCUCAUUUUUUUCCGCAUAACCAUCUCGUGAUUUCGCUCAAGUAUAUUGUUUUUCCGUAAUGGAUGUCGAUUUUUCCUAACUCCUAGAUGAUCGUGUAAUUUCCAGGAUAUCUGUAACGAUCAGCUUAUUAAUUCUAGAUAUUAACGAGGUUAUUUAGUCGAUAGCAUUUUUGAAUAGUCCCUGAGGCGGUUGCAUUAUUUACGUAGACUAUACGAACUACCAGCAUCUUUAUAAAGCUCAUCGUUUCUGGGUAACCCUUACAGAUUUUGGCUUAUCCGACUGGCGAUUUGAAGUAAGUAUUUGUGCUUUAUUUUUUAUUCUUAUGUAAUAUCUGUCUUCAAUAAUUACUAAUAUACCGACGUAAUUUCUAGGUUAUCCGUCGAACCCAUCUUAUUUCCCUAGAUUCUAGAGAGGUUACUUAAACGACAACAUCGUUGCAUAAUCCCAGGGGCAUAUUCGUUAUUUCCUACGAAUCAAGUAACGACCAGCGUCUUCAUAAAGUGCAGCAUUUCUGUAUAUCCUCAUAGAUUUGUCGUCAAUCCUAGAACGUAUUUAGGUGGCCUCCGAGCGUCAGGCGUAACGUCAUAGUGUCCGCAUAAGCGAAUAAAUUUGUUUUUACCUAA